rnacentral:rRNA from 1 species
CCUACGGGUGGCAGCAGUGGGGAAUAUUGCACAAUGGGCGAAAGCCUGAUGCAGCCACGCCGCGUGAGCGAUGAAGGCCUUCUGGUCGGAAAGCUCUGUCCUCAAGGAAGAUAAUUGCGGUACUUGAGCAUGACUCCCCGGCUAACUCCGUGCCAGCAGCCGCGGUAAUACGUCGGGGGCUAGCGUUAUCCGGAAUUACUGGGCGUAAGGGGGGCGUAGGUGGUUUCUUAAGUCAGAGGUGAAAGUCUACGGCUCAACCUGAGUACGCCUUUGAAACUGGGGAACUUGAGUGCAGGAGAGGAGAGUGGAAUUCCUAGUGUAGCGGUGAAAUGCGUAGAUAUUAGGAGGAACACCAGUUGCGAAGGCGGCUCGCUGGACUGUAACUGACACUGAGGCACGAAAGCGUGGGGAGCAAACAGGAUUAGAUACCCUUGUAGUC